rnacentral:rRNA from 1 species
UACGAGGGGGGCAAGCGUUGUUCGGAUUUAUUGGGCGUAAAGAGCGUGUAGGCGGCCAGGGAGGUCCGUUGUGAAAACUCGAGGCUCAACCUCGAGACGCCGAUGGAAACCCCCUGGCUAGAGUCCGGAAGAGGAGAAUGGAAUUCCUGGUGUAGCGGUGAAAUGCGCAGAUAUCAGGAAGAACACCCGUGGCUAAGGCGGUUCUCUAGUACGGUACUGACGCUGAGACGCGAAAGCGUGGGGAGCGAACAGG